rnacentral:rRNA from 1 species
GUAUGGAGCGAGCGUUAUCCGGAUUCAUUGGGCGUAAAGCGCGCGUAGGCGGAGCGCUAAGCGGGACCUCUAACCCGAGGGCUCAACCCCCGGCCGGGUCCCGAACUGGCGCUCUCGAGUGCGGUAGGGGAGAGCGGAAUUCCCGGUGUAGCGGUGGAAUGCGCAGAUAUCGGGAAGAACACCGACGGCGAAGGCAGCUCUCUGGGCCGAAACUGACGCUGAGGCGCGAAAGCUGGGGGAGCGAACAGGAUUAGAUACCCUGGUAGUCCCAGCCGUAAACGAUGGGCGCUAGGUGUGGGGGGAUGAGAUCCCCCGUGCCGCAGCCUACGCAUUAAGCGCCCCGCCUGGGGAGU